rnacentral:tRNA from 1 species
GUCUCUGUAGCUUAGAACAAAGCAUGACACUGAAGAUGUCAAGACGGCUGCUUAAAGCACCCAAAGACA